GCAAGUCGAACGGCAGCAUGGUCCUGCUUGCAGGACUGAUGGCGAGUGGCGAACGGGUGAGUAACGCGUAGGGAUCUACCCCGAAGUGGGGGACAACCCGGGGAAACUCGGGCUAAUACCGCAUACGUCCUGAGGGAGAAAGAGUGCUUCGGUACUCGCUCUGGGAUGACCCUGCGUCCGAUUAGCUUGUUGGUGAGGUAAAGGCUCACCAAGGCGACGAUCGGUAGCUGUUCUGAGAGGAAGAUC
rnacentral:rRNA from 1 species